rnacentral:lncRNA from 1 species
UGCAUUAAAAUAGAAUUUACAUUUUUUUAUCUCAAAAACUAUGGGGUAACCCUACGAAAAUAUUUAAUUUUUCGGUAAAUCCUCUAUAUACUGAAGCGUGUGAUAUUUAGUGUAGUUUUAAAAAUUUUAAACACAUUCCACAUUUAUUAAUGUAUAUUAAACUCUAUUUAAUGUUACAUGGGCAUCGUUUAAAUGUUUUUUUCAAUUAAUUUAGUAAAACUUCAUAAUACUCCCUAAAUUGGUUGAC